rnacentral:rRNA from 1 species
GAUCAUGGCUCAGGACGAACGCUAGCUACAGGCUUAACACAUGCAAGUCGAGGGGCAGCAUGGUCUUAGCUUGCUAAGGCCGAUGGCGACCGGCGCACGGGUGAGUAACGCGUAUCCAACCUGCCUUACACUCUUGGACAGCCUUCUGAAAGGGAGAUUAAUACAAGAUGUUAUCAUGAGUAAGCAUUUUCACAUGAUUAAAGGUUUACCGGUGUAAGAUGGGGAUGCGUUCCA